CUAUGUGUUGUUGGGUAGGGGAGCGUUCUGUAAGCCUGUGAAGGUGGCCUGUGAGGGUUGCUGGAGGUAUCAGAAGUGCGAAUGCUGACAUAAGUAACGAUAAAGCGGGUGAAAAGCCCGCUCGCCGGAAGACCAAGGGUUCCUGUCCAACGUUAAUCGGGGCAGGGUGAGUCGACCCCUAAGGCGAGGCCGAAAGGCGUAGUCGAUGGGAAACAGGUUAAUAUUCCUGUACUUGGUGUUACUGCGAAGGGGGGACGGAGAAGGCUAUGUUGGCCGGGCGACGGUUGUCCCGGUUUAAGCGUGUAGGCUGGUUUUCCAGGCAAAUCCGGAAAACCAAGGCUGAGGCGUGAUGACGAGGCACUACGGUGCUGAAGUGACAAAUGCCCUGCUUCCAGGAAAAGCCUCUAAGCAUCAGGUAACAUCAAAUCGUACCCCAAACCGACACAGGUGGUCAGGUAGAGAAUACCAAGGCGCUUGAGAGAACUCGGGUGAAGGAACUAGGCAAAAUGGUGCCGUAACUUCGGGAGAAGGCACGCUGAUAUGUAGGUGAAGCGACUUGCUCGUGGAGCUGAAAUCAGUCGAAGAUACCAGCUGGCUGCAACUGUUUAUUAAAAACACAGCACUGUGCAAACACGAAAGUGGACGUAUACGGUGUGACGCCUGCCCGGUGCCGGAAGGUUAAUUGAUGGGGUUAGCGGUAACGCGAAGCUCUUGAUCGAAGCCCCGGUAAACGGCGGCCGUAACUAUAACGGUCCUAAGGUAGCGAAAUUCCUUGUCGGGUAAGUUCCGACCUGCACGAAUGGCGUAAUGAUGGCCAGGCUGUCUCCACCCGAGACUCAGUGAAAUUGAACUCGCUGUGAAGAUGCAGUGUACCCGCGGCAAGACGGAAAGACCCCGUGAACCUUUACUAUAGCUUGACACUGAACAUUGAGCCUUGAUGUGUAGGAUAGGUGGGAGGCUUUGAAGUGUGGACGCCAGUCUGCAUGGAGCCGACCUUGAAAUACCACCCUUUAAUGUUUGAUGUUCUAACGUUGGCCCCUAAUCGGGGUUGCGGACAGUGUCUGGUGGGUAGUUUGACUGGGGCGGUCUCCUCCUAAAGAGUAACGGAGGAGCACGAAGGUUGGCUAAUCCUGGUCGGACAUCAGGAGGUUAGUGCAAUGGCAUAAGCCAGCUUGACUGCGAGCGUGACGGCGCGAGCAGGUGCGAAAGCAGGUCAUAGUGAUCCGGUGGUUCUGAAUGGAAGGGCCAUCGCUCAACGGAUAAAAGGUACUCCGGGGAUAACAGGCUGAUACCGCCCAAGAGUUCAUAUCGACGGCGGUGUUUGGCACCUCGAUGUCGGCUCAUCACAUCCUGGGGCUGAAGUAGGUCCCAAGGGUAUGGCUGUUCGCCAUUUAAAGUGGUACGCGAGCUGGGUUUAGAACGUCGUGAGACAGUUCGGUCCCUAUCUGCCGUGGGCGCUGGAGAACUGAGGGGGGCUGCUCCUAGUACGAGAGGACCGGAGUGGACGCAUCACUGGUGUUCGGGUUGUCAUGCCAAUGGCACUGCCCGGUAGCUAAAUGCGGAAGAGAUAAGUGCUGAAAGCAUCUAAGCACGAAACUUGCCCCGAGAUGAGUUCUCCCUGAGACUUAGAGUCUCCUGAAGGAACGUUGAAGACGACGACGUUGAUAGGCCGGGUGUGUAAGCGCAGCGAUGCGUUGAGCUAACCGGUACUAAUGAACCGUGAGGCUUAACCUUACAACGCCGAAG
rnacentral:rRNA from 1 species